rnacentral:rRNA from 1 species
CAUAUCAUUAGCGGAGGAAAGAAACUAACAAGGAUUCCCCUAGUAAUGCGAGUGAAGCGGAUGAGCUCAAAUUUAAAAUCUGUCAGCUUUCGCUGUCCGAGUUGUAAUCUAGAGAAGCAUUUUCUGUGAUGGACCGUGUACAAGUUUCUUGGAAUAGAACUUCAUAGAGGGUGAGAAUCCCGUCCAUGACACGGACUACCGUUACUUUGUGAUAUGCUCUCAAAGAGUCGAGUUGUUUGGGAAUGCAGCUCAAAAUGGGUGGUAAGUUCCAUCUAAAGCUAAAUAUUGGCGAGAGACCGAUAGCGAACAAGUACCGUGAGGGAAAGAUGAAAAGCACUUUGGAAAGAGAGUUAAACAGUACGUGAAAUUGUUGAAAGGGAAACGCUUGAAGUCAGUCGCGUUGCUUAGGACUCAGCCUUGCUUUUGCUUGGUGUACUUCCUAUGUAACGGGUCAACAUCAAUUUUGGUUGGUGGAUAAAGAUUGAAGGAAUGUGGCAUCUUAGGAUGUGUUAUAGCCUUCUUUCGUAUACACUGGCUGGGAUUGAGGUCUGCAGCACGCCUUUAUGGCCGGGGUUCGCCCACGUAUCGUGCUUAGGAUGUUGGCAUAAUGGCUUUAAGCGACCCGUCUUGAAACACGGACCAAGGAGUCUAACAUGCUUGCGAGUAUUAGAGUGGAAAACUCUUAUGCGUAAUGAAAGUGAAAGUUGGGACUCUUCGCGGAGGCACCGACGCCCGGCUCUGAAGUUUACUGACGAUGCUGCGGUAGAGCACGUAUGUUGGGACCCGAAAGAUGGUGAACUAUGCCUGAAUAGGGUGAAGCCAGGGGAAACUCUGGUGGAGGCUCGUAGCGAUUCUGACGUGCAAAUCGAUCGUCAAAUUUGGGUAUA